UACGAAGGGGGCUAGCGUUGCUCGGAAUCACUGGGCGUAAAGGGUGCGUAGGCGGGUCUUUAAGUCAGAGGUAAAAUCCUGGAGCUCAACUCCAGAACUGCCUUUGAUACUGAGGAUCUUGGGUUCGGGAGAGGUGAGUGGAACUGCGAGUGUAGAGGUGAAAUUCGUAGAUAUUCGCAAGAACACCAGUGGCGAAGGCGGCUCACUGGCCCGAUACUGACGCUGAGGCACGAAAGCGUGGGGAGCAAACAGG
rnacentral:rRNA from 1 species